rnacentral:rRNA from 1 species
ACCAGACGAUGCGGUUACCGCGGCUGCUGGCACGGAGUUAGCCGGUGCUUCUUCUGUGAGUGAUGUCCUUCCUGCCGGUUAUUGACCCGCAGGCCUUCUUCCUCACUGAAAGUGCUUUACAACCCGAAGGCCUUCUUCACACACGCGGCAUGGCUGGAUCAGGGUUGCCCCCAUUGUCCAAUAUUCCCCACUGCUGCCUCCCGUAGGAGUCUGGGCCGUGUCUCAGUCCCAGUGUGGCUGAUCAUCCUCUCAGACCAGCUACGGAUCGUCGCCUUGGUGAGCCGUUACCUCACCAACCAGCUAAUCCGACAUAGGCUCAUCCGAUAGCGCGAGGCCCGAAGGUCCCCCGCUUUCCCCCGUAGGGCGUAUGCGGUAUUAGCCUGGGUUUCCCCACGGUUAUCCCCACUACCGGGCAGAUUCCUAUGCAUUACUCACCCGUCCGCCGCUCGCCACCAGGGAGCAAGCUCCCCGUGCUGCCGCUCGACUUGCAUGUGUUAGGCCUGCCGCCAGCGUUCAAU